UGAUCUUUUAGUUGAUUAUAUGAUGUAUGAGGUUUUUUAAGGACCAGCAUUUCAAGAAUAUUGUGACAUGUUGAUCUAGAUGCUUUUCAUUGCAUGAUUCUUUAAUGUCCUAAAAUCCAAUACUAAAAUUCUUACUUGAAUGAGAUAAAUUGUGAUCAAGUGUAAACUGUACUAAUGAAAGGGCUAGUAUCAUGGUUUAAUUUGCACUAGUAGGCUAAUUGUACUCAAUUUUCUGGAUUAGACAGCAUUAUUUUUAACUGUAAUACAUAUUUGAUCUUACAUUUUCAAUUUCAUAGGAUGAAGUCUCACUUUAAAAGUAUGGCAGCAUUUAAGAUGAAAACAAUAUGGUAAAUGUCAUCAUACCCAGUUUCUGUAUAGUAUUAUCAAGAUUCAAAUCAAGUUUAUUAUAAAAUCACUGCAGCAUAAGUGGAUCUGAAAUGUGGAAAUACCAGAACCUGUAAUUUUGUAGGUAAUGAAGUUUUUGAGCCAAGAGAGGAAAUAUUGAUCAAGUGAAAAGACAAUCCUUACAAAAGCAGAGGAAAAUAAAAAAUAAAAAUCCUAAUGUUGCUUUUGAUUUUUUCAUAGAAUGUUUUUUUCUUCUCUAGAAAGUUAUCUAAAAUUUUCUUUUUUAUUUUAUUUUAUUUUA
rnacentral:misc_RNA from 1 species